UCAAGUUAUUAAGGGUGCAGGGCGGAUGCCUUGGCACUAGGAGCCGAUGAAGGACGUGAUAAGCUGCGAUAAGCUUCGGGGAGUUGCACGUAAACUUUGAUCCGAAGAUUUCCGAAUGAGGAAACUCACUUAGAGUAAUGUCUAAGUAUCAUUAAGUGAAUACAUAGCUUAAUGAGGGGAACUCAGGGAACUGAAACAUCUAAGUACCUGAAGGAAGAGAAAGAAAUUCGAUUCCGUAAGUAGCGGCGAGCGAACGCGGAUUAGCCCAAACCAAUAAAGUUUUCUUUAUUGGGGUUGCGGACAUAUCAUAACGAAGAGGUAUCGUAAUUGAAGAGGUUUGGAAAGACCCACCACAGAAGGUAAUAGUCCUGUAUGUUAAACGAGAAGACUUUAGAUAUGAUCCAGAGUACCACGGGACACGUGAAACCCUGUGGGAAGCAGGAGGGACCACCCUCCAAGGCUAAAUACUACCUAGUGACCGAUAGCGUAUAGUACCGUGAGGGAAAGGUGAAAAGAACCCCGGGAGGGGAGUGAAAUAGAACCUGAAACCCUGCACUUACAAGCUGUGGAAGCACAUUUCUUGUGUGACCGCGUACUUUUUGUAGAACGGGCCAACGAGUUACGUUAAGUAGCAAGGUUAAGCACUUAAGGUGCGGAGCCGUAGCGAAAGCGAGUUUUAACUGAGCGUUCAGUUACUUGACGUAGACCCGAAACCGGGCGACCUACCCAUGAGCAGGAUGAAGCGAAAGUAAAAUUUCGUGGAGGUCCGAACCCACGAGCGUUGAAAAGCUCGGGGAUGACUUGUGGGUAGCGGUGAAAUUCCAAUCGAGCCCGGAGAUAGCUGGUUCUCCCCGAAAUAGCUUUAGGGCUAGCCUCAAGGUGAGAGAUACGGAGGUAGAGCACUGAAUGUCCUAGGGGGUAUUGCACCUACCGAAGACUAUCAAACUCCGAAUGCCGUCAUCUUAUACUUGGGAGUCAGACUGUGGGUGAUAAGAUUCAUAGUCGAAAGGGCAACAGCCCAGAUCGUCAGCUAAGGUCCCUAAAUGUAAGUUAAGUGGUAAAGGAUGUGGGAUUGCACAGACAACCAGGAUGUUGGCUUAGAAGCAGCCACUCAUUCAAAGAGUGCGUAAUAGCUCACUGGUCGAGUGAUCCUGCGCCGAAGAUUUCCGGGGCUAAAACUUACUACCGAAGCUACGGCAUCAGUAAUGAUGGGUAGGGGAGCUUCCCAUACGGGUUGAAGCAUGACCGUAAGGACAUGUGGACAGUAUGGGAGUGAGAAUGUUGGCAUGAGUAGCGAGAUGUGGGUGAGAAUCCCACAGGCCGUAAACCCAAGGUUUCCAGGGGAAGGUUCGUCCGCCCUGGGUUAGUCGGGACCUAAGCUGAGGCCGAAAGGCGUAGGUGAUGGACAACAGGUUGAUAUUCCUGUACUACCGAUAACCGUUUGAGAGAAGGGAUGACACAGUAGGAUAAGCUAAGCACACUGUUGGUUAUGUGUGCCCAAGCAUUGAGGCAGUCAAAGUAGGCAAAUCCGCUUUGAUAAUGCUGGGAUGUGAUGGGGAGCGAAAUUUAGUAGCGAAGUAGCUGAUUUCACACUGUCAAGAAAAGUCUCUAUCGAGGUUAAAGGUACCCGUACCGCAAACCGACACAGGUGGGUGAGGAGAGUAUCCUAAGGCCAGCGAGAGAACUGUUGUUAAGGAACUCGGCAAAAUGACCCCGUAACUUAGGGAUAAGGGGUGCCACCAUCAGGUGGCCGCAGAGAAUAGGCCCAAGCGACUGUUUACCAAAAACAUAGGUUUCUGCUAAGUCGCAAGACGAUGUAUAGGAGCUGACGCCUGCCCGGUGCUGGAAGGUUAAGGGGAUCUGUUAGAGCAAUCGAAGCAGUGAACUUAAGCCCCAGUAAACGGCGGCCGUAACUAUAACGGUCCUAAGGUAGCGAAAUUCCUUGUCGGGUAAGUUCCGACCCGCACGAAAGGCGUAACGAUUUGGGCACUGUCUCAACAACAGACUCGGUGAAAUUGUAAUUCCGGUGAAGAUGCCGGAUACCUGCGACAGGACGGAAAGACCCCAUGGAGCUUUACUGUAGCUUGACAUUGGGUCUUGGUACUACAUGUACAGGAUAGGUGGGAGGCUUUGAAACCAGGACGCCAGUUUUGGCGGAGCCAUCCUUGGGAUACCACCCUUGUAGUACUGGGACUCUAACCAUAGGCCAUGAAUCUGGUCUUGGGACACUGUCAGGUGGGCAGUUUGACUGGGGCGGUCGCCUCCCAAAAGGUAACGGAGGCGCUCAAAGGUUCUCUCAGUACGGUCGGAAAUCGUACGUAGAGUGUAAAGGCAAAAGAGAGCUUGAUUGCAAGACAUACAGGUCGAGCAAGGAUGAAAAUCGGACUUAGUGAUCCGGUGGUUCUGCGUGGAAGGGCCAUCGCUCAACGGAUAAAAGCUACCCUGGGGAUAACAGGCUUAUCUCCCCCAAGAGUCCACAUCGACGGGGAGGUUUGGCACCUCGAUGUCGGCUCAUCACAUCCUGGGGCUGUAGUAGGUCCCAAGGGUUGGGCUGUUCGCCCAUUAAAGUGGUACGCGAGCUGGGUUCAGAACGUCGUGAGACAGUUCGGUCCCUAUCCGUCGCAGGCGUAGGAAAUUUGAGAAGACCUGUCCUUAGUACGAGAGGACCGGGAUGGACGUACCUCUGGUGUACCAGUUGUCCUGCCAAGGGCAUGGCUGGGUAGCUAUGU
rnacentral:rRNA from 1 species